rnacentral:lncRNA from 1 species
CUUCUCUUAAAAGAGGCGAUCUCAGAUCACUGUUCAUUUGUGUAGUCCUCGUUUUUACACUGUAACCCUUUAAUUACUGUUUAUUAACUGGUUCCACAAAUAUCUCUUGUUCAAAAUUGGCUUUUGCUCUCUGUCUCCCACCGCCCCCCUCGGCUUUUGGACGAGCUCCUCUUUAGACCAAACCCCAAGAGGGGGGCUUUUGCACAGAUGCAAUCCAUUUUCUUCUUCUUCUUCUUCUUUUUUAUUUUAUUUUUAGUGUUGAGCUUGCAAAUGGGAAUUUUACAUUAGUUUAGUUAAAACAAGGGGAUAAAGUUCUAGCGAUUUUCGAACGAAUUGGAAGGAAGUUCAGUGGCCUUUAGUGAAGUAUGAGGCUGCGGCAUUCUUUAUCCAGUCCAUUUUCUUCUUCUUCUUCGUCUUCGUCUUUUUUCCUACCUUUACAUUAAAAGAGAGGGUGCCCAGAUCACUAUUCAUCUUGAGGCAAAGGUUUCACAUUUAAUUGGUUCUUCUAUUAUUUAUUUAAACUUAAGAAAAGUCUCAGUAAGGACCAUUAUUGUAGGUAGCUUUGGUUCAUGAACCGUAACUUCAUUCGUCCAUUUCCUUUAUGGAGAAGAUUUGGAUUAUGAUGGUGUGAUUGAGGGUGGAGAGUAAAGCAUUGUUCCAUGGUCGUUGGAGUUGGGUGGAGGCUCCGAUAAAAUCGAAAAUCUGUCACAAAAUUCCCUUUUUUACCUUUUAUAUUUUUUCCUGAACAAUUUCGAAUUUUCUGCAUGCAAGAAAGUGGAAUUAUGUUCACUGCAAUUCUUUGUUUUAAAAUUUCAAGAAUUGGAGUUGGUUGAUAGCUUCACGCUAAGAUAAAGAAGUUUAAUACUCGUUUUUUAGCCAUAAGUUCUCUUGUACACUCUCGUCGUCUCUAUAUGUAUAUGUAAGUAUUAAUUUUGUUUAUGAACACUAAUUUAGUCAUUUGUUCUUCAUACUAGGUAAUCAGUUGAAAAACAAUGAAACUGAUUUUGAUUUAGAAAAGUGGAAUAUAUCAAUAUUGAUUCUCUGGUAGGGCAUUUAUAACUUUUGAGAGAUUGAUCACUUUCAUUUUUGAAUAUGAUUUUAUUUGUAGCAUUGGAACGUAGUGUUUCUUGGAAACAUAAAAUUAAUGUUCGUUCUUCCUUGACUUCAUAUUCCCCUCUCAAAAAAUUUAAAACAAAAUAAAAAUGAAAAAAGAGUCUGAAAUCAGAGACGGUGAACCGAAACCAUCUCUUGGGAAGCUGCAAGGGCAGAUUAAGUUGGUAUUAAUAAUAAUAAUAAUAAUAAUAAUAAUAAUAAUAAUAAUAAUAAAAGAUUAAGAUGGUAUUAACAAUAAUUGGAAUUCAUGUAAAUAAUUUUUGUUCUCCAGAUUCAUCCGCCGUGUUUACUUUAUUUUUGGCGUUUUGGGGAAUUUCCCUAUUGCUCUUUUUAAUUUCCAGAGAAAGGACAGCUCGGAGGAGUCCUGCUUCAAUACCUGUUGCUGUUCUUGAUCUUCAAGAUGGUUCCACUUCAAAACGAGAAAAUUUUCAUUUCUUUCUUUUGUUUCUUGUUUACUUUAGAUAAAUUAUUAAUGGGUUAGCAUUUUUUUACUUAUUCUAAUUCAUUUUUGUUCCUUUUGAAAUGAAUGAUGAUGGAUCGAAAGUGAGAAAAAGAAGAUUGAACUUUCUUGUGCAGUAAAAAUUAAAUCAUCACAAUUGCUUGCUGCCUCUAAAGAGUUACAAAAUCAUCGCAGGUCUUAUGGGGGAUGCUUUCGAAAAAGUAUGGAAGGGUGUUAUUACAACUCCGUGUAAUAGUCGACAACAUUGAUGUGCUUGUUGUAUACAUGAUUGUUAUCGCUACAUCUUCGAUUGAAUUGAGUUGUCUAUUCAUUUUUCUCCUAUAAUGUUGUUAAUCCAUAUUGAUCCAUGAGGCUUUUAUUGAUUGUAAACUAUGUCAACUGAAGGUGAUGUGCCUUCUGAAAUUACUUUUAAGUGGAAUUCAUGAUGUUGGUGUUCUUGAAGCUUCGUUUCGACAACAUUGGUUGAAAGAAAGAGUUUUUGUUUUUCUCUUCACUAGCCUGGAUGUGUUUGCACCAUUGCCCAGCUGAAAACAAAUUGGUGAGUUCCUUUUAAUUUGAAAAAUAUAUGGAAGUUAAUAUUUGGAUGUCUUGAUUAUUAAGUUCGGUACACUUAAUGAAUGUUAAAUCUUGUUACCAUUUAAUAAGCAGAAUUUAUAAUUUGAUUGGUUGAAGUUGUUUCAGACGCUUACUAAACAUGUAAUAAGGAAUUCGUUAUCCAAGUUGGUGAAGUUGACAGGCCUAAAACUACUGAAGUUGGACCUCAAGGGGGAAACAUAAUAACCAACUUGAUUCUAGGUAUGAUUGACCUCAAAACUCCAUAAGUUUUUUUAAAGUCCUUUAGUCUGUAAUGUGUCAUCGCUACUAAAAUGUACUUAAUUAAUAGUGCUUACUCAGUUUGAAGCACGAAGCUUUUAUACUUCUAGCAAAAUAGGAUGCCAGUGGAAAUCUUUUCAGUAAGCAUACUCUUUGUGCUUUUCUUCAUUAAGAGAACUAGAUUAGGCGUCCUAGCCUGUAAGUCACCAUUUGUCUGUUUCUUGUCCUAGAAUACUCUUAAGAUGGAAAUUAAUACCCCUCAACAUAAAUUCAGACUCAGCUACAUCAAUCCUUUCAGCACUCCAUUCAGUUGAUUGUUAUGCGACUAAAUUCUUAAUAACUCCAAGAGACCACAAGUUUUGUUUUUGUGUUAUAAAUGAGGUCCUCUUUAGGUUUAUGCAAGACAUGCCCCAACUAAGCCGUCCCUUUCUUAAUUUUUACUUUACCAGUUUGCUUGCAAUCUCGCUUUUUAUUUAUUCGACCACAUACUCAUCUCGACAUCCUCAUUUUUCGUAACAUUUUUCUUUUGGUCACUUACAACCCCACUCUCAAUAAAAUUUCCUUGUACUCUGUUUUUGAUUCUAUAUAUUUUCUUAAGAACACAUGGUGAAUACAGUUCUGUUUCUUGGAUAUUGUCAAAAACAUGAUGUGAAUUUAUUAAGAAAUAGGAAAGAAGUGAUAAAUUAAUUUUCUCCGCAAUAAAGAUUAUGUCCAAAUCCUCUAUGAUAGUUGAAAGGUUUAGUGAUGUUUAUAAAUGCUAGAAUUAUCAUUUUGCUGUUAUUUUGAAAAACUUUUUUGAAACAUAUAUAUCUACAAUUUUUAUGUAAGUACUAAUAGUUUAGCCAAAAAUGAGUACAUCGAUGGAUAUUUGACAUGUGUGCACGUACAUCUGAAACACUUUUCAGCAAUUUGGGCCUUUGCAGUCAUGUUUGAUAACUCUGUAAACACUACAUUUGUGAAGUUUGUAUACUCACUACACUGUUCUCUGCAUCAAACACUACUGUCAUUACUUACGUUUUUGGAAAGGGUUAUAGGAAUCUGGACCAGGGCUUGUAGCAGCUUUGUUGAUUGCCAUUUCGCCUGGUUACAUCUCAAGGUCAGUUGCAAGUUUAUAUGAUAAAGAGUGGUAUGCUAUAAUUGCGUUGUUGCUCAAUUUCUAUUUAUUUGUCAAGGCUGUGAAUAUUGGUUAACUUGCUUAGGCUGUGGCCUCAGCUUCUGGGUACUUCUAUAUGGUUUCAGCAUGGGGUGGUUAUGUUUUCAUAAUUAAUUUGAUCCCACCAUAUGUAAUGGUUCUGUCGAUUAACUGGGAGAUACUUAAUGAGAUUGUAUGUAGCUUAUAAUUGCACUUAUAUCUUUCAGGAUGUGCAGUCUGGAUAACAUAUGGCUACAAUGGAAGUGUUUUUCUUAAGGCACUUAACACUUUCUUGGUACCCCUGUCUCCUAAGAAAAUCCUUUCCCCCUCUGUAAGCUAGACAGCACGCAUGUUAAAUUUGGUAAAUCCUUCUUUUAUUUUGUGCAGUAGAAUCUGAGAAAAGUUUGCCUUUUAGUUUCUAUGGCAGUUAAAGCUAAAUUCUCUUCUGGAAAGCAAGCUACGGAAGUUUGAUCACAAUUUAGAUUAAAUUGCAUGUCUAUUGUGUUGUGGAAACAGAAAUUUGAAUUCUGUGUACUGGGGCAACAAUAAUCCAUUACAUUCUUUUAUCUAAAGAAGCAUCACCCUUAAGACACAAGCGUUUGAAAUCAUAUAAGGUUCAUAACAUAGAGGUUGAUCUUAUGAUUUUUUCCUCAUGUCAUCUGACUCUCAAAGAAGUUUCUAAAAUUGAAAUUUUCGAUUUUCUAUUCACUCAUGAUUUGGCCUGGUCGACCCGAUCAUGAUAUUUUGCUAGAUGUGACUUUGUUUGGCAGAACAAAUUUUGCAGUAGAAUGUUUUGGUUUUAUGUUUGAAUUGUGCUCAAGUUCUGUGUUUCGAAUUCACAUGUACAAGACGCUUGUAAUAAUUUCGCUGUUCAAAAUGGAGCAGUCUACUAAACUCACAGCCUAUAACUGUUUUCUCUUUCUUUCUCAAACCUAGGUCCUCCAAAUGUAUUGCUCUAUAUAUUUUAUUUGUGGUCAGUGCUUAUUGACACUACAAUUGUCCCAAAUCUGUGGACAGUCCGGAGACAACUGUAUUCUUCUUUCCAAAUAAGCAAUACUUAAUUCAGAGGCCUCGGAAGUCGAUUGCAAAGAAAUCAGGUGAUGUCUAUGUUCCUCAUGGUAUUUUUAUCCCAGCUUUCGACAGAGACAUUCUCUGGGAAUUUCAGCUUAAGAACACCUUCACUAAUUUAAUAAUGUAUUCCUGUGCGGGAUACGGAGAUCUCUUCACAAUACUUAACUCAGAAUGCUAAAUUUGAAACUUCUUUCUAUGAAAUCUUACUUCACCUCUUAUUGGCACUUCAAAUUAUUUUAUCUAUGUUUCAUUCCAUGAUAACUUCCCUAUACGGAAUGUUUUCAAAGACAGUUUAAUGCAACACCAUGUAGCACUUCCUCCUAAUGCUAUGGGAAAUAUUAGCUACAUUAGCCCACCUGGUCAAUACUCUUUGAAGAUUUGUCUUCUGAACUCCAUUUUUAUGGUAAUCUGGAACUUUCAUAAUUUAGUUAAUGGGAUGUAUCCGAUCAUAUAAUGAAAUAACUACUAUUAGGAUGAUGGGAUGUAUCCCAUCAUAGCUGCUGAUCUUACUUGGUUAUCAUAUAUCAUUGGUAAGUUAGUAGUUGCCUAGGUGGAUAGAGAUUAGUUUUGACAAGAGCUUGAAUGUGAAAAAAUUGUGAGAAUUUGAAAGCUUUGUUGCCCACGAUGAUUUAGACAUUAUAUUAAGAAUAUAUCUCUUAAAAACUUAUGUAAACUUAUUUGCCUAUCAUGUCUUGUGAGCAGGGGCGGAGCCGGGAUUUUAGUUCAGUGCGGACAAAUUUUUUUUGAUGUCGAAUGUCGAGGUUUUGGUCAUCGAUGUAAUGAUGCUAAAAAAAUAAAAUAAUAGUACGAUAAUACUAAAAACGACAUAAUUUAAAUAUUUCACUUGUUCCUUGCGAGUUUUAAUACUCAGUGCGAACCGGAACUGCGACGCUACAAUAGGGACGAAUUCUCUCACUCACAGACAAAUGGUUGGAUUGAUUCAAAUGAAUGAAUGGGUUUGGAUCAAUUUAAUUUUGAGGAAAUGGGUCUAAUAGGGCUUCUCUCUCUGAGCUGGACAUUGAAUAUUGGAAAAAGACUAUGAAUAUUCACUACUAUUGAUAUCUGAAACUUUAGAAGUGGGUUUAAAAUAAAAAAUAAAAUAUUAGAAGUGGG